CAAUAGCGUAUAUUAAAGUUGUUGCGGUAAAAAAGCUCGUAGUUGGAUUUCUACCGAAGAUAGCCGGUCGGGUCUUCGACCUUGUAUCUGGUUUUGUCUUUGGUAUCCUCAUAGGGAACGUUUCUGCGCUUUAUUGCGUGGUGCGGUAUCUAUGACUUUUACUUUGAGGAAAUUAGAGUGUUUACGGCAGGCAAACGCCUUGAAUAUAUUAGCAUGGAAUAAUAACAUAGGAUCUUCGUCCUAUUUUGUUGGUUUCUAGGGCUAAGAUAAUGAUUAAUAGGGAUAAUUGGGGGCAUCUGUAUCAACGCGUCAGAGGUGGAAUUCUUGGAUUGCGUUGCGACAAACUACUGCGAAAGCAUUUGCCAAGGAUGUUUUCAUUGA
rnacentral:rRNA from 1 species